rnacentral:pre_miRNA from 1 species
UUUUCAGAGCUAGUUUGACAAGCUGGCCGCCUCCAAGUUUUCAUCGUUGAAAGUGAAAUUUCCAUCUGGUGAUAACAAUAUCUAACGGAGGUGGACAGAAUGCCAAAAUAGCUCUGCAAU